CUACGGGAUGCAGCAGUAAGGAAUAUUGGACAAUGGGGGCAACCCUGAUCCAGCCAUGCCGCGUGAGUGAAGAAGGCCUUCGGGUUGUAAAGCUCUUUCAGUAGUAAAGAUGAUGACGGUAACUACAGAAGAAGCUCCGGCUAACUUCGUGCCAGCAGCCGCGGUAAUACGAAGGGGGCGAGCGUUGUUCGGAAUCACUGGGCUUAAAGCGUGCGUAGGCGGCCAUUCAAGUCAGGAGUGAAAUCCCGGGGCUCAACCCCGGAACUGCUUUUGAAACUGGAUGGCUGGAGUCCCGGAGAGGUUGGCGGAAUUCCGAGUGUAGAGGUGAAAUUCGCAGAUAUUCGGAGGAACACCAGUGGCGAAGGCGGCCAACUGGACGGGUACUGACGCUGAGGCACGAAAGCGUGGGGAUCAAACAGGAUUAGAUACCCCGGUAGUC
rnacentral:rRNA from 1 species